rnacentral:lncRNA from 1 species
UGGCGUCUGUCACGGCAGCCCUGGCAAGCCAAGACGAGCGCCAGCUGAGGUCGCCGCCAGCAGACGUCGCCCACCAGCUGCCCUCCAUCGGACGUCACCCACGAGAGGGGCCCCUGCUGAGCCCCGCCGGCCCGGAAGCAUGAACGAGGAAAAGAAAUACUCGGAUCUGGGCUGGUUUGUAACCGAGCAACAAUUCCUGGAGCAAGGACAGGGUUCCAAGAUCCCGAGGAGCGAAGCCGAGCCCUGGGACGGCGCUUCUGGGCCCCCUUUCCUGUCACUGUGCUGUCCUUCGCCUCCUGCUCUCAGUGAGGGAAGAAUUUCUGGCUGAGCCUCGGGCCGCGCUCCUGCUUGAGGCUGCGGGUUAGUGCAUGCUGGGGUCAGCCCUGCAGGGAGAAAAGCUGGCCUCCCCCUCAAGGUGCCCCUUGGCUGUCCACAGUGGCCUGCAGGUCCCUCACCCGGGAGGUGGCCUCGUCUGACCCCGAGUGGCGUCCAGGGACCACACGCCGGCGGUACAGAGCUACAGAACUCCAGCGUCUGGAGCCCUGGAGAACCGACGUCUGAGAUCAAGAUGCUGGGGGUUGGCGCCUCCGGGAAGCCCUCGGG